rnacentral:tRNA from 1 species
GGAGAGGUGCCGGAGCGGCUGAACGGGCACGACUGGAAAUCGUGUGACGGGGUGACCCCUCGUCCGAGGGUUCGAAUCCCUCUCUCUCCGCUA